AUGGACACGCACGCGUCCUUUCCUUGUCCUCCCUCGGGCCCGCGUAUUGGCCGUCCAACCACUUCUCACCAGCCACAUUUAUGCAGCACGCGCGGACAGGCCCGCCUGUCAGCACCAAGCCGCCCCCUAAGUGUCCUUUUUAAAUGUCAAAGUUGUGGACCGACCAUUCCAUAUCCUCUUCACUGCCGCUUCGCCGCCCUUCCACACCAUUCAUGCCCCCUCAAAAGCCGACAAGCCCUAGAGCACGUCUCUGGCCGCUACCCCCACAAUGGGGAUGUCGAAGUGGAUCCUCGGCAAGACGGCUAA
rnacentral:rRNA from 1 species